AAAUGCAUGCACAAUCUGUGUACCCACUCGUCACCUUGAGUACACGAGUUUCACGUAGAACAAUUGAAUCAUAUCAAUACCAAUACUAUGGGGUAGUUCCCCCACACAAGGUUAGGCGAGACACUUACCUCAACUAGGCCAAUUUAAAACUCGAAUAUAGCUUUUCCCUUAAAAAUCACCUCCACACUGCUCAAAUCAAAUGAAAAUCAACUUAAUAUCAUCAAAAUAAUGCUAGGAAAAUCAAUUGCAAUAGAUAAAACUAAGUUCUUUACACUUUUCUCAAAAAGUCAACAAGAGUCAACCUGUGGUUUGCCUAGUCAAAACAUGUGUCCAGUAGAUUCCAACUACUCAUAAACCCAUGAGUUCAUAUAUGUAAUUAGUUUCAAAAUCCGAGUCCAAAUCGACUAACAAAACUCACUUUAUUAUUUUUCAAAAACUUGUCAAAUUUUCACUUGGUUUCAAAUGAUUUUGAUGUUAACAUCUAAGAUAUAUUGAUGGAAUAUGAUUAGAUAUAGAUUAGAAUCACUUACCCAAGGUUUUUAUGUGAAAAUCCACUCUCCUAAUCACCUCCUACAAGUCUAGGGUUAAAAAAUGAGAGAAUGAGUUCAAAAAUCCCGUCUCCCAGCCCUUUAAAUAGCUGCAGUGCCGCAUUUGCGACACAAUGCGAACCCUCACAAUUAUGUACCAGGGCUCACAUUUGCGAACCCUGAAAAUCUCAUGCAACAUUGCAACUGCGAGCUGGCCUUCAUCGCAAAAGCGAACAUUUGUUCGCAAAUGCGAACAAUGCUAAAUCAUGUUUCCUUCGAAAAUGCGAAGAGCUAGUCGCAUUUGCGAUAAUUGGACCUGUUCUGUCAUCUUGGCAAAUGCGACCCUGGUGUUCCCAAUCAUGACACUAGAACACCAGACACUAGCUUUUUGCAAUUUCAGUCCAAACCACUCCAGAACAUAUCCGAAACUUAUCUGAUCCCUCGGGGCUCCAUACCAAACCUCCACACAAGUAUAAAAAUAUCAUACUAUCUCAAUCAACGCGAUCAUAACAUAAAAAUAAUAUUUAAAGCUACAAAUUGGACACUAAAACACAUGAAUUUCAAAGUACCUAUCAAAUUCAAGAAUUUCUAAAGUUACAACUAAACAUCCGAAUCCUAUCAAAUCAACUCCAAAAUACACCAAAUAUUUCUAAAUUCAUAACACACCUUUUUCAAUCCCCUAAAUCGAAUUCUGAGUUUGAUAGCUAAAAGUCAACCUACGGCCAAACCUUCCAACUUUAAAUUGCCGAAUUUUAACAAAUCAACAUUAAUCAACCUACGGACAUUCAAAAUUAGUUCCAGAUAUACGCCCAAGUCCAAAAUCACAAUACAAAGCCAUCAGAGCCAUAAAAACAGAGUUCCCGGUUGUUUUUAAAAAAGACAUAGUUUAGUUAAUAUUUUUAAUUCAAACUUCUACGUCAAGACUCAAAGGGUCCAAAUCAACCCAAAGCUUCCCGGAACGAUACUAACUGACCUCGCAACUCAUAAAGUCAUAAAUACACGUGUGUGAAGUGUAAAAAGGAGUAAUGAGGUGCAAUUAUACAAUAUAACUGAUCGGGUCGUUACAAAUUUAUAGGUUACCUUCAAAGUUUUACAAGAACUCUCAAGGAUUUGGAUUUUAUCAAAAGAGGCACAAGGAUCCUUUUGAUCUUGGGGUGAGAAUCUACACCAAAUAACUAGCGUAAGCUUCCUUCUGAUUUAAAUGUUCUUCAAGCUUCUAAUCUCUUUAGUUGCCUUUGAGUGCUACUCAGCAAAGGAAGAUUCCAAUCUAUCCUUGUCAUUUUCAACUUGAUUGAAGGAGGCUUUCAAAAUCGCUAAUUCAGUGGUGGUUAUCUUCAAUUGUUGCUCCAAAACCCAUUUCUCUUCAGUGAUAGCGUCCUUUUCAAGUUGAAGACUUUCAAAUUGUUCCUAUCAAUUACCAGCUUCAGUAUGAAGCUCAAUAACUUGUUGAUCAGUCUAAGAUAUCCUACUCAUAAGCUCCAUAUCUGUCAAAUUGAUCUAUACAAAAAGUUAUAAACCUAGAAGAAAAGAAAGAAAUAUAAGAGAAUAAGGAUAUACCUUGAUAGUAGAAUGAAUGACAUCAUUCACGAAGGUUAAGGAGCUACGAGAUUCAAGUUUCUCCCUUUCCACGGGGCCUAUCAACGGUUUCGACCAUAUAGAAGCUCGACUUGAUUUCUUUAGCAGAUUCCCACCAUCGUAGACUUUAAUCAAAACUUUUCUCAUACCUUGUCUACCGCUAAAAAGUCACCUUUUUCACGAGAAGUAGCGACAAGAAUGACAAUAGGAGUGGCUGCAGGUACGAAAACUGAAGAAACAGAAAGAUUAAUACUAGUAGUAACUAGGGUCAUUGGAAGAUUGGCAAGUGAUGGCUCUUCAGAAACAAGGGCAAAAUCUUUUUCACCCUCAAACCUUGGGCGAAAAGUCUAUUAAUGAGUCUUGAGGGGGGAUUACCAGAAUGGUCCAUAUCUUUCAUCCUCAGAGAAGUCCAAAUGAACAUUCAAUGGUUCGUUAGUAAGUCUAAAAGGCACAUAGCCUGUACGUGGGUCCUGAGAAAUAAUGUCUUCUUCAUCUAAAACCACGUGUCUUCUGACUCGUGACUUCGUCACUAAGGAACCAUCUUCAUUAUCUCCUUCUUCUUCGGAAUCAAAGGCUUCAACAUUCUUCCUCUUAGAAGAAGAUACGCUUAAAAUUUGCUCCUAUGCAAAGCUAACAGAAAGCCCAGUAGAAGGAACACAAGUGCGGCUAAUACCACAAAUGGAAAACCCUAGAAACAAAAAAAAAACAAAAGGUAUUAAAGGAAAGGAAAAAGAAUAAAGGGAAAGAAAACCAUGGUAAUAAAAAAUAACAUCGCGAGUCUUCACUUUCCAUCCAAAUUUUUAAGAAAGAAAUAUCCAUGAUCUCUGGUCCAUGGGAGCCACAGUCAAUAUUUUUUCUAUCCAGUCACAGAAGACUGGGAUUUCUCUGAAAACUUCCAUGAUUGCUAAAAUACAAACAUAAAUGUAUGCGAGAAAAAUUGAAACAUUGAGAGAAACCAGGAAAUAAAGAAAAUUAGGCGUAAAGUUCCACUUCUCAGGGAAGAGCACAUUAUCAUCACGCACUAAGUCAUGAGUUGGAACAGUUACAAACUGGGUAUACUAACCACGAUCAUAGUCAUCCUCGAGGCUGACCAAAACUCUCUUGCUUCUUUCCACAAGAGAGAAAAACACCCUUGCGAAAGAGCUUUGGGAGUAUAAAUGGAGUAAGUGACGAAAAUUUAGAAGGAACCGAAACCAAAUUUGACGAAUAAUGAAGGCAAGAUACUGUCCUCAACAUGAUCAAACCUAUUUGGCCAAGGCAAACAUUGAAGUAACGGCAAAAUUCAAUGAUUAUUGGGUCAAUAGGAGGGUUGAAUCCUAAAGUAAAAGGGUAGGCACAAACAAAAAAAAUAACAUUCACGAUAAGAGGUAAUUUUAUCAUAAGCACUAAGGGUCACCACUAAGAAAUUUGGUUCCCAAUUGUAUUUACGACGAACUAAUGGAAUGAGACCAGAAGUGAUCAUACUAGGGCUAAUGAUCAGCAUGGUUAAGUGAUGCUAUAGAAGAGACUUGUUUUCUCAUACAUUCACAAUCUGGUAUGAAAGAAAAUUCCUGAGGAACAAUCUCAGACACAGUGGGUUCUCACAUAGGUUCAUUGUGAUCUUUCCCUCUAGAGAAAGAUCUAGGGAUAGUGGAAGUUCUAGCUCUAGAGUGGGAAUGUUGGCAGUAUUCCUUUAAGAAAGGGUAGAACUAUGGUUAGAUAAAAAGCUUGAGCUACGAAGUCUGCCACCUUUUAUACUUCUAGUUGGGGCAGAAGAGGGGGACGUUCAUCAACAAUCACUACUUUACGAGAAUUCAAUGAUGAAGAAGGGUUUGAAGAACGGGAAAUAUCUCUAAUGGUGAAAACACAGAAAGAGGGACAACUAAAAGAAGAGUUAGAAUAUGAAUGCAAGAGAGAAGAAGACGUUUUCAAAGUUGAUUAUUAUACGAUAUUCAUAGGGAAAAAACCAUCAUUAGAAACUGCCAUUAUGAACUAUCAUCAUGAAGUCGUCACUUUGCAACUGAUGCAGUCCUAGAAAACCCUAAAAAGGCACUAAAAAUUACAAAACCAAUAACAACGAGACACGUGUCCUGGGCAUUAAAUAUACGUGACAUACGUCUCAUCGUUUCUGAAGAAAGAAUUAUGAUAGUUGGGAAGAGGCGUCAAGACAUUGCCACCAUAAAUGAACUUACCACUUCCCAGAUAUUCAGUUGAGAGUAUUCAGAAAGUAGGGGGAACUAUCUGUAUUGUGGAAAAAAGGCAUGACACGUGGGCCAACAUCGAGGUGACAAGUAGCACGUAUCAGUAUGUCAAUAAAGAAAGACAGAAAGGCAAUAUAAAAUACCCACGAUGUUAGAGUAGGUACCCGAUCUAACAACUGAAAAAAGGAAAUAGGCAUGGGAUGCGUUAGGACCAUAAAAGGGGAAGAUUCAUGAAUCGGUUGUAAGUAAGAGAAGAAGAUGAAAUUCAGUUGCUUUUUGCAUUGUUAUUCAUUUUGGAGAGAUAAAGGGGUAUUUAUAAACCCCUCUAGGUAUCCGUUAGAAUAAACAGACCCAAUAGUUGUCUACAUGCACCUUUUAAAAUCAAUAGCCAUGUUUUUAAUAUAAAUAAAAUUAUUAAAAAUGUUUUAAUAAUUAAAUAAAUAUUGUUAAUUGAAUAGUAAAAAUAAUAGGUAACUAAGAAUAUUAAUUUUUGACCACUUAAUUUGUCCAAGUGGUCCAAGUGUCCAAUCUUGACUAUUAAUAUUAUAACUAAAUUUUAGUUUCCCUAAACACUUCUUCCUUUUUCUAUUUUUCCAAGGAGGGGUAAGUAUCUCCUCCUAAAGUUGACACAUCAACACUAACUAAUCUAGCAACGACAAUAACAAUAGCAAUAUGCCUAGUAAAAUCUCACACGUGUGGUUUGGAGAGGGCAAUAUGCACACAGACCCUACACCUAUCUUGUGAAGGUAGAUAGACUAUUUAUGAUAGACCUUCAAUUCAAGGGAAGCCUAAUCUCAGCAGUCAUAAGAAAAUAUGAUAGUGGAGAAGCAAUGAAAAAUGAAGCAGUAACAACAUUAAGAAAAAUAAGAUAUAACAGAAGCAAAAAUAACAGAUAGUAACUGAAAUAUGAAAAAAAGAAAAUACAGGAGUACCAACAAUAUUGUUGGUAUGGAGAUGAAAAACACGGGAUUACCUAUUAACCUACUAUCUUAUCCCUCGAUCUCCAUAACCUCCUAUUAAGGGUUAUGUCAUGCCUAAUCACAUCUUCCCGAUACCUUGUUCGCUUGCCUCUACCUCUCCUUCGUUCCAUCAUUACCAACCUCUCAAAGCUACUCAUGGAGAAUCUGUGGGUCUCCUCUUCACAUACUUCAACCACUUCAACUUCUAUUUUCGCAUCUUGUCCACCAUAGAGGUCAUUCUCCACCUUGUCCCGAAUGUCCUCAUUCCUAAUCAUAUCUCUCCUAGUAUUCUCACACAUCUAUUUCAGUAUCCUCUUUUAUGCUACUUCAUCUUUUGAACAUAAGAGUUCUUGUUAGGCCAAUACUCCGCCUCAUAUAAUAUAGUCGGUCGAACCACCACUCUAUAGAACUUACCUUUAAGUCUUGGUGGUGUCACACCUCCUUUUUCACUAUACACCCCCACAAAGGGGCGUAAAGGAGUUUUUCCACUUAAAGGACAAUCGGAACAGGAUUUAGUUUAUUAAUUAUUCAGAGUCGCCACUUGGGAGAUUAAUGGUGUCCCAAGUCACCGAUUUGAAUCCCGAACCGAGGAAAAAUAUGACUAUGUUACAGUCUGCGAACCAGAAAUCUGAGUAAGGAAUUCUGUUAACCCCGGAGAAGGUGUUAGGUAUUCCCGGGUUUCGUGGUUUUAGCAGGUCUCUUAACUAUUGUAUUUGGUUUUAUCUGAUUUUAUUACAUACUAACUUAUGUGCCUUUUAUUUAUAUACUGCUUUUACCAUUAUUUAUUUUAAAAGACUUGCGACGUCGUGAAAACACGUCUCUGACCACGUCACCAUUAAGGCACCCGUGGUUGUCAACACGUUUCGACUUCAUCGAGAUUUGGAUUUGGGUCACAUCAAUGCGCACCCGAGUUUAAGAAAGUAAUUUAAUUAAAUCGCACUUAAAGGUUCUAGCGUAAUAUUGUUUGGGANNNNNNNNNNNNNNNNNNNNNNNNNNNNNNNNNNNNNNNNNNNNNNNNNNNNNNNNNNNNNNNNNNNNNNNNNNNNNNNNNNNNNNNNNNNNNNNNNNNNNNNNNNNNNACCGUUGAAAUUCGCUAAACGACCCUUCCAAAUUCUAAUCAUUUUUAAUAACCAAUUAUUGAGGGCCCCACAAUUAUUCUUGUUCGGUGAGGCUCGUCUCCAUUUUUUAAACCAUAUUUAUCAUUAUUUGUUUUAUAAGAAUUGCAACAUCGUGAAAACGCGUUUAUAACCCCGUCGCCGUCAAGGCACCCGUGAUUAUUAAUGCAUUUCAACUUCGUCGAGAUUUGGAUUGGGGUUGCAUCAAUGCACACCCGAAUUUAGGAAAGUAAUUUAAUUAAAACGCGCCUAAAGAUUAUAUCGCAACAUUAUUUAGGGAAGGCCGUGAAAUUCGCUAAAAGACCAUCCCGAAUUCAAAAGAUUCUCAACCUUUAUUGAGGACCCCGCAAUUAUUUUUGUUUGGCGAGGCUCGUCUCAUUUUAUUUUAACAGGAUAAACCUAAGGGAUAACUAUAUUUUAUAUAUUUUUUUUAUUUUGUCUCUAAUAAAUAAAGAAAGAUCCUAAUUGAUUAUACUUAAAAUCAGGGCUUUAAGUUCAAGUUCGCGUCCAAACAAAAGGACGAACCUUUUAGUUUAAAACCCGCUACCUAACUCAAAACUCACAGCUGGCCAAAUAUCUAUAUUACGACAACGUCAUGUCCAGCUAUAACCCAUUCGAGUGACAUGCAAGUAAAUAACUAUAUGAAAAAAAAUCUCUAAACUUAAGAUAAUAACCGAAUAGAUCACAGUAUCAAAUCGUCACAUAACCAAUUAACAUUCAGCUAUAAUAAAACGAGUAGAAUCAAAUGCAAUGCCAUUAAGCCCAAUGCGCAAUAUACAGGGAAGGCCGAAUCUGAUUUUGAAGAAACUAUCCCUAUGUCAUCAAACUUUUACACUCAAUUUGCUGUAAAUUAUAAAGAAGAAUUAUCAAACAAAUAAAGGCAAUUACAUGCCUUUGUUGGCUGUUUCCUCCUCCAGAAAGUACACAUUGGAAAGAUCCCCAUGUAACAUUUUAAACACACGUAAAACAACAAUUCAAGCAGCUCAAUUACACGAAGUCAAAAUCAGCACUCCGUCGCUAGGAAUUUCUAAUUAUCCGAACAUUCUUUCAAUUAUAAAGGAACUUCACCCAGGUCAAAGAUCAUCUCAUUCAACUACAAAUAAUGGCUUUAGAAUGUGCAACUUCAGAUUCAGAAUAUGAACUAGAAAGAAUGAGAGAUGAAUCUUAGUUAAAUUAGACAAAAUUGAUUCACUCGACUAAAACCAUGUUUAAACAAAUUGGAGCCGUGGAAUCAGAAGCAGUAUGAAUCAAAAAACGGACCUCAAUGUCGACGUCAAUUCUGAUCAAUGACAGAACAUCCAGCAAAAUCUUAAACAAGCAAAUGAACCUACGAUCGGAGACCUCGGCAAGCGAACGGACUGACCGAACUUCGCCGGACGAACUUGAAUCUGACAGUAUCUCGGACGGAACCUCAAAUCGGCGGCAAAUCGGCCCUCUGACGACCUCUAAAUCAGCAAACUACAUCGGUAGCGAGACUCGAACACCACCGGAGAAAUCGAAAGGUUUGACUCCGAGUGGAUAGCGAUGUCGCAAAGAACUCGAAACAAACAGACCUCUCAAACGAACACCAUCAUUUAGGAAUCAAAAUUCAAACCGAAGAUGCAAAGCAAAAUUUCUGUUUUUCUACCCUUUUUUUUAAUGCAAACGCUGAACUGAAGUGCGUCAAUAGAAACCCAUUUCUGUAUGUAUUUUGCCUUCUAAAUUCUUAAUGAAAGUAGAAAAUUCAGAGAAGAAGCUAUUUCUAUGUGUGUCCUCAGAAUGAAGAUGAAGCAGAAUUUUUUAUCCUCCCUCCUCUCUAACGGAGAUUGACGUAUUUUGAAGGAAAACGUGAGGGGGGAGGCCCCCCCACAAUUGCACUGUUUUUGUAUUUUUCAGUGUCUCUUUUUUUUGCAAUUGUUUUCGUCCGUUUUCCCUUUUGUAAUUUUCUU
rnacentral:lncRNA from 1 species